rnacentral:rRNA from 1 species
AACGAACGCUGGCGGCAGGCUUAACACAUGCAAGUCGAGCGCCUCGCAAGAGGAGCGGCAGACGGGUGAGUAACGCGUGGGAAUCUACCGUACCCUACGGAAUAGCUCUGGGAAACUGGAAGUAAUACCGUAUACGCCCGAAAGGGGAAAGAUUUAUCGGGGUAUGAUGAGCCCGCGUUGGAUUAGCUAGUUGGUGGGGUAAAGGCCUACCAAGGCGACGAUCCAUAGCUGGUCUGAGAGGAUGAUCAGCCACAUUGGGACUGAGACACGGCCCAAACUCCUACGGGAGGCAGCAGUGGGGAAUAUUGGACAAUGGGCGCAAGCCUGAUCCAGCCAUGCCGCGUGAGUGAUGAAGGUCUUAGGAUUGUAAAGCUCUUUCACCGAU